AAGUCGUAACAAGGUUUCCGUAGGUGAACCUGCGGAAGGAUCAUUAACGAAUUGUAAAGGAGGUUGAUGCUGGCUUUUUUUACGAAGGCAUGUGCUCGUCUCCGACAAUCCUUAUCCAUACACCUGUGCACCUCUGAGGGGUUUUUUCCGUUUGGUUUUAACCCCUCUUUUUAUCACAAACCCCUUCUUAUAACAUUGAACGUGAAUUAGUGCCGUUAAGGCCUUAAAACAAAAUACAACUUUUAACAACGGAUCUCUUGGCUCUC
rnacentral:misc_RNA from 1 species